CUACAAUUAGGUCAACUUCGAGCGUGUUGACAAUUGUGCUAAAAUCCCCCGGGCUGCUCGCGAAAAAAAAACCCCACCAAGAUGUGGCAGCUAACUCAUAG